rnacentral:tRNA from 1 species
GGCCUCGUGGCCCAAUGGCAAGGCGUCUGACUACGAGACAGAGUCAAUCAAGCAACGAUUGACUCUUCAAGAUAAUCAGGAGAUUCUGGGUUCGACCCCCAGCGAGGUCA